rnacentral:rRNA from 1 species
CCUACGGGUGGCUGCAGUGGGGAAUUUUGGACAAUGGGGGCAACCCUGAUCCAGCCAUUCCGCGUGAGUGAAGAAGGCCUUCGGGUUGUAAAGCUCUUUCGCAAGGGAAGAAAACUUACUCAAUAACACUGGGUGAGGCUGACGGUACCUUGAUAAGAAGCACCGGCUAACUACGUGCCGGCAGCCGCGGUAAUACGAAGGGUGCGUACGUUAAUUAGAAUUAGCGGGCGUGGUUUUGUAAGUGAGGUGUGAAAUCCCCGGGCUCAACCUGGGAACUGCGUUUGAAACUACAAGGCUAGAGUAUGGCAGAGGUGGGUAGAAUUCCACGUGUAGCAGUGAAAUGCGUAGAGAUGUGGAGGAAUACCAAUGGCGAAGGCAGCCCCCUGGGUCAAUACUGACGCUCAUGCACGAAAGCGUGGGGAGCAAACAGGAUUAGAUACCCCAGUAGUC